rnacentral:rRNA from 1 species
UACGGAGGGUGCAAGCGUUAUCCGGAUUUACUGGGUUUAAAGGGUGUGUAGGCGGGCUUUUAAGUCAGUGGUGAAAUCUCCGGGCUCAACCCGGAAACUGCCAUUGAUACUAUUAGUCUUGAAUUUUGUUGAGGUAGGCGGGAUAAGUCAUGUAGCGGUGAAAUGCUUAGAUAUGACUUAGAACACCAAUUGCGAAGGCAGCUUGCUAAACAAACAGUGACGCUGAGGCACGAAAGCGUGGGGAUCAAACAGG